CCUGGUAGCGGGGGAUAACUAUUGGAAACGAUAGCUAAUACCGCAUAACAGUAGAUGUUGCAUGAUAUCUGCUUGAAAGGUGCAAAUGCACCACUACCAGAUGGACCUGCGUUGUAUUGGCUAGUUGGUGAGGUAACGGCUCACCAAGGCGACGAUACAUAGCCGACCUGAGAGGGUGAUCGGCCACACUGGGACUGAGACACGGCCCAG
rnacentral:rRNA from 1 species